ensembl:lncRNA
GUAUGUUGUUCAACGUUUUGUGUGUGUUCAAGUUGUAAAAAUGCGGAUUACUGGUACAUCCUCGGGGUCCCAACUCGUCCCUGCGCUGUGCGGGGCUAGCGUUAGCUCUGUUAGCUCCAUGGAGCUAGCUGGACCCACCGCUUUUCAGAGCUAACUCUACAUGGAGCUAACGCUAGCUCCGUUAGCACAGCAAAGCGGUCGGAAAAGUUUCUGUGGAAUGGAGGAGGAGGAGAAAGGGGGCAAGUUAUCCAAUGUAGGGUCAAAAAGUUUAUUUUUGUACUUGGACGAGAGAUAGACGGUGUCUGAUAAACGGGUAAGACUGCUAAAGUACUCCUAUUAAAAGUUGGUGGAGUUUGGCGGUCUCUGAAGACCGUAGAUAAUGUUGAUAUUGGCGUGUUUUAGUAGCUAGGCUAGUUAGCCACCGCUGUGUUUUGCUCUUGGUUUUGGUCUUACUGUUUACCGCGGGGGUCUGGAUGACCUUACCGCUAUCCUUUUAAGAAAGGGAAACGUUUGAUAUUUUUGACAUUGUACUAGUUAUUUUUGACGUUCUCCUUUUUGAUUUUGUGAAUUGUCACGGAUCAUCUUCCAUGGUCUUGGCGUCCCGGACCCUACUCCCCUCGGGUCAGAGGUGUAUGCAAUAGUUCUAAUCGUCAGAGGGGUAUGGGAUGGUUCUAAUCGUCAGAGGGGUAUGGGAUGGUUCUACUCGUCAGAGGGGUAUGGGAUGGUUCUACCGGUCAGAGGGGUAUGGGAUGGUUCUACAGGUCAGAGGGGUAUGGGAUGGUUCUACAGGUCAGAGGGGUAUGGGAUGGUUCUACAGGUCAGAGGGGUAUGGGAUGGUUCUACUGGUCAGAGGGGUAUGGGAUGGUUCUACAGGUCAUAGGGGUAUGGGAUGGUUCUACUGGUCAGAGGGGUAUGGGAUGAUUCUACAGGUCAGAGGGGUAUGGGAUGGUUCUACAGGUCAGAGGGGUAUGGGAUGGUUCUACAGGUCAUAGGGGUAUGGGAUGGUUCUACAGGUCAUAGGGGUAUGGGAUUGUUCUACUGGUCAGAGGGGUAUGGGAUUGUUCUACUGGUCAGAGGGGUAUGGGAUUGUUCUACUGGUCAGAGGGGUAUGGGAUGGUUCUUCUGGUCGGAUGGGUAUGGAAUGAUGGUUCUACUGGUCAGAGGGGUAUGGGAUGGGGAUGCGCUUCAUAAACUUGAGUAUUGGCUGAUACUGAAUAUGAUUUUGUUUUGGGGAUAUAUAUCAUUAAUUUAUUUAACACAGUACUACUAUGGAUUUGGUAUGAUUGUUGUAUGGCUGGGCUCGGGUUGAACCAUUUGUCAAACACAAACCAACACAACAACUGGCAUUGUAACUACUUGCUCUUGCUGAAAGGUUCUCUUUGGACGAUGGGAAUGUAUAGUCGGUUCACUUACUGCCAACAAAAUGUACAAACUCGUAAGAGUUGCUUUGGAUAAAAGCCUCUUUUAUCCCAAUGAAAGAAGUCUAAUGUAAUAUUAAUGUAAAGGCAC